UACAUGCUGGGAUGGCUCAGUUGGUAGAGCAUGAGACACUUAAUCUCAUGGUUGUAAGUUCGAGCCCCACCAUAGGGUAA